GGGGGGGGGGGGGGGGGGGGGGGGCGGGGGGAGGGCGAGGGGCGGGGCAGUAAGGGCGUGCGCUGACGGGUGGCGGGUGGCGGGCGGGUGAGGAAUGCAUCGGAAUCUACUUUUUCGUGGGGGAUAACGUAGGGGCACUGACGCUCAUACCGCUUACGACCUACGGGUGAAAGCAGGGGAUCUUCGGCCCUUGCGCGCUUUAAUGAGCCGAUGUCGGAUUAGCUAGGUGUCGGGGUAAAGUCCCACCAAGGCGAAGAUCCGUAUCUGGUCUGAGAGGAGGAUCAGCCACACUGGAACUGAGACAAGGUCAAGAAUCCUAAGGGAGGAAGCAGUGGGGAAUAUUGGACAAUGGGCGCAAGCCUGAUCCAGCCAUACCGCGGGGGUGAAGAAGGCCUUUGGGUUGUAAAGCCCUUUUGUUGGGAAAGAAAAGCAGCAGGUUAAUACCCCGAUGUGCUGAAGGUACCAAAAGAAUAAGAACAGGCUAACUUAGUG
rnacentral:rRNA from 1 species